rnacentral:rRNA from 1 species
AUGGAUCCAACACCCGCCAUGCGUCCGCUCCACCGGAUUCAGCGGCGGCGGAUCCCCGCGGCCUGCAGCUUCCUCCUGCUCCUCCUCGCUCUCCUCAUCUCCCCCACCGCCGCCGCCAAGUCCUCUGGCCGCCCCAUCACCGACAAGGAGAUCCGCGAGAACAAGGCCGCCUGCUACACCGACGUCGAGAACGGGCUGUGGGGAUUCGCGUGCAGGUCGUCCACCACGGAGAAGGAGAAUUGCGUGCUGCGCUGCCUCUCGCCGGAGUGCUACAACCUCAUAUAUGGCGGCGAUCCGCUUGAGGAAGGGGAGCUAGACUAUGUCCGCAGCCAUGAGUACAAGUACUGCAUGCACAAGGUAUCCCUUGGAGAAAGCUUGGAUGGUGUGAAGGGUUCCUUCAGCUAUUCAUGA